GGCGUAGGGCGCGAGCGUUGUCCGGAUUUAUUGGGCGUAAAGAGCGUGUAGGCGGCCACACAGGUCUGCUGUGAAAACUCGAGGCUCAACCUCGAGCUGUCGGUGGAAACCGUGUGGCUAGAGUCCGGAAGAGGAGAGUGGAAUUCCCGGUGUAGCGGUGAAAUGCGUAGAUAUCAGGAGGAACACCUGUGGCGAAAGCGGCUCACUGGACCACAACUGACGCUGAAGCACGAAAGCUAGGGGAGCAAACAGG
rnacentral:rRNA from 1 species